ensembl:lncRNA
GGAUUGGGCCACCGCCCACUCCUCGGUCUUUUAGCAGUCCUUCCCAGGCCUUCGCGCUGGCUCUCCAUCCUCCUUUGCUUCCGGAGGCGGCAUCCAGAGCCGUUUUGACCAGGAGGAAACCAAGGCUCAGAGCUCGACCAUCGUCCAGGGCCCACCGCACCCAGUGGGUACGUGGGUCCCGCUGCUCCCACUCCAAUCGCGUUUCUCGACCUGGUUCUACUCACAGGACCCCAUGGCGGCUGCAGUGCUAAUGAACUGGGCUCAGACCCUCUGCUGGAGUCCAGCUCCAGCAGCCAGGGAAUCAGCCUGAAGGGAUGAGCUGUGUCAGCGGAGAAUGAUGCAGCCUCUGACUCAAGCCAACUCAACCGAAGAAAGGAAAAAACAAGUCAGAGUCACAAGACCUAACUCCUUCAUCCCGGAACCGUGCCUGCAGGACGAGGAGAGGGGGUUGGGGCCGUGCCUCCAUUUUGUCAGUAAUGCCUAAUGUGGCUCCCGACAACCCUCCCUAUCCCAUUAAUUCAUAACUGACCCAAAUGAGCAAUUCAGUUCACUCCUCUAUUAAUAAGUAUAGGAAUAACAUCUGGGGUUGGAACAGGGAUAGCAGGACUCACAACCUCUUUAAAUUACUGCCAAAGCCUUUCUGAAGACCUCACUGAGAGCCUAGAAGAAAUAGCUACUUGUCUUAUCACUACCCAAAACCAGCUAGACCCUGGCAGUCAUGGUCCUCCAAAAACAGAAGAGGAUUAGAACUUCUCACAGCAGAAAAAGGGGGCCCAUGUCUAUUUUUGGAGGAAGCUUGCUGCUUCUACACCAACAAAUUAGGCAUUGUAAAAGAAGAAAGUGAAAGUCGCUCAGUCACACCCGACUUUUUGUGACCCCAUAGACUAUAUGGUCCUUGGAAUUCUCUAGGCCAGAAUAUUGGAGUGGGUAACCUUUCCCUUCUCCAGGGGAUCCUUCCAACCAAGGGAUCAAACACAGUUCCUCCACACUGCUGGCGGAUUCUUUACCAGCUGAGCCAGCAGGUUGUAAAGGAAGCAGCAAGAAAUCUGACAAAUAGGGCCUCGAGAAUACGUCAACACCUCAGUAAUUCAUGGGAGAACUGGUUAAGCAAUUGGAAUUGGAUGCCCUGGGUCCUACCUUUUCUAGGUCCUCUUCUACUUAUCUUUAUUGUAACUUUUGGCCCAUGUUUAGUUAGUUUUUUUCAAAAUUUCUUCAGGACCGCUUAUGAGCCUUUACCAACCGAACUAUCCACGAGCUACUUCUAAUUCACUCAAAUUGUCAAAAACUUUGACCC